UCUCUGGUAGUGUAUUGGUCAUUACGCGUGCUGAUGAUAUUCUCUUCGCACGGAAGCUCGGUUCGAAUCCCAGUCAGAGUU